GCAUAAACCAGUUACGGCCAUUGGCGAAUGCCUUGGCGUCAUCAGGCGAUGAAGGACGCAGCAAGCUGCGAUAAGCUUCGGGGAGCGGCACACACGCUUUGAUCCGGAGAUUUCCGAAUGGGGCAACCCGGCGUAAUGAGAAUUACGUCAUUCCGAUCUGAAUCUAUAGGAUCGGUAAAGCAAUACGCGGUGAAGUGAAACAUCUCAGUAACCGCAGGAAAAUAACGAGAAUCGAUUCCGUCAGUAGUGGCGAGCGAAAGCGGAACAGCCCAAACCGUGGGGAUUUAUCCCCGCGGGGUUGUAGGACUGCAAUGUGGACUGAAAGAAGAUAGAUUAACGCCUUGGAACAGGCGACCAAAGAGGGUGAGAGUCCCGUGAUUGAAAUUUUCUUUCUACCUAGCAGUAUCCUGAGUAGCACCGUACACGUGAAAUCCGGUGUGAAUCCAUGCCGACCAUGGCAUAAGGCUAAAUACUCGAUGACGACCGAUAGUGAACUAGUACCGCGAGGGAAAGGUGAAAAGCACCCCUGUUAGGGGAGUGAAACAGUAACUGAAACCAAUGGCCAACAAGUCAGUCGGAGCCACCUUGUGUGGUGACGGCCUGCCUUUUGUAUAAUGAGUCUGCGAGUUAUUGCCCGUAGCAAGCAUAAGCCGCUCAGCGGCCCAUGCGCAGCGAAAGCGAGUCUGAACAGGGCGCUUAGUUGCUGGCAAUAGACCCGAAGGGGAGGUGAUCUAACCAUGAGCAGGAUGAAGCUUUGGUAAAACAAAGUGGAGGUCCGAACCCGUCAAUCUUGAGAAAUUGUGGGAUGACUUGUGGUUAGGAGCGAAAGACUAAUCAAACCCCCUGAUAGCUGGUUCUUUCCGAAAUAUAUUUGGGUAUAGCGUCGAGCGCUGACUCACGGAGGUAGAGCACUAAAUAGGCUAGGGCCCCUACCGGGGUACUGAACCUAAUUAAACUCCGAAUACCGUGGGGUGAAGCUCGGCAGUCAGACAGUGCGGGCUAACCUGCAUUGUCGAGAGGAGAAUAAUCCAGACCACCAAUUAAGGUCCCUAAACAUAGCUCAGUGUAAAAGGAUGUGAGUUUGCUUAGACAAUGGGGAUGUUGGCUUAGAGGCAGCCAUCAUUUAAACAGUGCGUAACAGCUGACCCAUCGAGCGAAUUUGCGCCGAAAAUGAUCGGGACUCAAGCUAUGUACCGAAGUUGUGGACUGUAGCAAUACAGUAGUAGGAAAGCGUUCCAAGUGGCAGUGAAGCAGGAGGGGCAACCGACUGUGGAGCUCUUGGAAGUGAGAAUGCAGACAUAAGUAACGAUAAAGGUGGUUGAAUUCCACCUCGCCGUAAGGAUAAGGUUUCCUGAGGAAGGUUCGUCCUCUCAGGGUUAGUCGGGAGCUAAGACGAGGCCGUAAGGAGUAGUCGAUGCACAGCAGGUUAAUAUUCCUGCACCCGCCUGUAACUAUCCAGUCGAAGACGGAUUGACGGAACCAACGGACCCUUUUGACAGGGCACUGCAAAGCCACGGCUGAGCGGAUGUUGGCGAAGGAGAUUCCAAGAAAAUUUGACUGGCCACUAUGCAGGCCGCCCGUACCGCAAACCGACACAGGUAUCCGGGAUGAGUAUUCCAAGGCGCGCGAGUUAAAUCUCUCUAAGGAACUCGGCAAAUUAACCCCGUAUCUUCGGUAUAAGGGGUGCCCCGCAAGGGGCCGCAGUAAAUAGCAACAACCGACUGUUUAGCAAAAACACAGCUCUCUGCCAAGUCGCAAGACGAUGUAUAGGGAGUGACACGUGACCAAUGCGAAAAGGUGAAAGCGUGAGGUGCAAGCUUCGCGUCUAAGCCCUCGUGAAUGUCGGCCGUAACUAUAACGGUCCUAAGGUAGCGAAAUUCCUUGUCGGGUAAGUUCCGACCCGCACGAAUCGUGUAACGAGUUGUUGACUGUCUCGGAGAGAGGCUCGGUGAAAUUGUAGUGGCGGUGAAGAUGCCGCCUACCCGCAGCAGGACGGAAAGACCCUAUGCACCUUUACUGUAAGCUGUUAUUGUCGCUUGAUUUUCAUUGCGUAGAAUAGGUGGGAGACUUUGAGGACUGGCUCCAGGGCCAGUCGGAGUCACAAUGUGAAAUACCACUCUAUGUUAAUUAGGCGUCUAACCACACUACCAUGAUCUGGUUGUGGGACAGUGAUAGCAGGUCAGUUUUUCUGGGGCGGAAUCCUCCCAAAAAGUAACGGAGGAUUACGAAGGUUCCCUCGGCCCGGUCGGUAAUCGGGCUAUAGAGCGCAUGAGUAUAAGGGAGCUUUACUGUGAGACCUACAAGUCGAGCAGUUGCGAAAGCAGGUUCAAGUGAUCCGGUGGUUGAAUAUGGAAUCGCCAUCGCUCAUAGGACAAAAGGUACGCUAGGGAUAACAGGCUGAUCGCGCCCAAGCGUUCACAGCGACGGCGCGGUUUGGCACCUCGAUGUCGGCUCAUCACAUCCUGGGGCUGGAGAAGGUCCCAAGGGUUCGGCUGUUCGCCGAUUAAAGUGGUACGCGAGCUGGGUUCAGAACGUCGUGAGACAGUUCGGUCCUCUAUCCGCUGUGGGCGUUUGUGAUUUGAGGGGUUCAUUCUCUAGUACGAGAGGACCGAGAAUGACGAACCUCUGGUGUUCCGGUUAUCGCGUCAGCGGUAGCGCCGGGUAGCUAUGUUCGGAAGGGAUAAGCGCUGAAAGCAUCUAAGCGCCAAGCCCAUCCCAAGAUAAGAUCACAAUCCAGUCUUCGGACUGGUGCAAGGUCCGGGUAGACCACCCGGUUGAUAGGACAGAAAUGUAAGCGUAGUAAUACGUUGAGUUUACUGUUACUAAUUGCCUUGCUUGUUUAUGCAA
rfam:Opitutaceae bacterium TAV5, complete genome.